rnacentral:rRNA from 1 species
CCUACGGGAGNNUCUUANUGGCGAAAGGGUGAGUAACACGUGGGCAAUCUGCCCUUCACUCUGGGACAAGCCCUGGAAACGGGGUCUAAUACCGGAUACGACACGGGGUCGCAUGACCUCCGUGUGGAAAGCUCCGGCGGUGAAGGAUGAGCCCGCGGCCUAUCAGCUUGUUGGUGGGGUGAUGGCCUACCAAGGCGACGACGGGUAGCCGGCCUGAGAGGGCGACCGGCCACACUGGGACUGAGACACGGCCCAGACUCCUACGGGAGGCAGCAGUGGGGAAUAUUGCACAAUGGGCGAAAGCCUGAUGCAGCGACGCCGCGUGAGGGAUGACGGCCUUCGGGUUGUAAACCUCUUUCAGCAGGGAAGAAGCGAGAGUGACGGUACCUGCAGAAGAAGCGCCGGCUAACUACGUGCCAGCAGCCGCGGUAAUACGUAGGGCGCAAGCGUUGUCCGGAAUUAUUGGGCGUAAAGAGCUCGUAGGCGGCUUGUCACGUCGGAUGUGAAAGCCCGGGGCUUAACCCCGGGUCUGCAUUCGAUACGGGCAGGCUAGANUUCGGUAGGGGAGAUCGGAAUUCCUGGUGUAGCGGUGAAAUGCGCAGAUAUCANGANNANCACCGGUGGCGAANGCGGAUCUCUGGGNCGAUACUGACGCUGAGNANCNAAAGCGUGGGGAGCNAANANNNUUANAUACCCNNGNAGNNCNCNNCNNAACGUNNGGAA